rnacentral:rRNA from 1 species
UACAGAGGGUGCAAGCGUUAUCCGGAAUGAUUGGGCGUAAAGGGCUCGUAGGCGGCCAACUAAGUCAGACGUGAAAUCCCUCGGCUUAACCGGGGAACUGCGUCUGAUACUGGAUGGCUUGAGAUUGGGAGAGGGAUGCGGAAUUCCAGGUGUAGCGGUGAAAUGCGUAGAUAUCUGGAGGAACACCGGUGGCGAAGGCGGCAUCCUGGACCAACACUGACGCUGAGGAGCGAAAGCCAGGGGAGCAAACGGG